UAAUAGGAUUUUGCAUCAAGACAACGUACUCGCACUACGCUGUCUAUGCCCAAGUGUCCUACACAGAUGGGCUGCCAGACCCCGUCAUUGGCCGUCACCAGUCAUAGUUCAGAAAGUCGUAACAUUAGGAGCGAUUCUAACACCGGUAGGAUUUAAGGGGAGUGAAUUCAAGCACAUGGAAUGGAGGAUUAACUUUAACAGCGGUGAGGCAGAACUCGUAAGCAACCUUAAUGAUAUUCAGGCGAAAGUUUAUGUUAUACUAAAAAUGAUCAUCAAAGAUAUAAUCAAACCAACAAAUAAAGAAAUAACGUCAUAUAUACUGAAAAACAUAGUUUUAUGGCAAGCUGAACGUAACCCACAGACACGCUUUAGUGCAUACAGUUUGCUUCACUGGCUGCAUGACGGUCUGAGAGAACUAAGGACUGCAAUUGCCAAAAAACAUAUGCCGUAUUACAUGAUUCCUGAACGAAAUUUAAUGGAAGCAUGUGGUAUAAACAAUAAGCUGCAUCGUAAAUGGGUAGCAGAUAUCACGGACAUGUUAGAAGAAGGUCCCGGGGUAAUACUUAGAUUGGAGAAGAUACGAAAGGCUAUUGUCGGGUCCCCGGAGCCUAUGUUGUGGUACAGCAAGAAAAGGAUGGAGCUGGAGAUGCUGUGGCUCGAGGAGCAGAAAAGAAUAGCGGAAUAUAUAUAUAAGAACGAGAUGUUGAAUAGCUCGGAUUUCAUGCUGAAUUCGCUACGUUUUCGCCGUGGAGAGGUAUUGAUGGAGGUGCGACAACGAAUGAUCCAGGAGGGCUGUUCUGUAAAUGAUCGGGAUGAUAUUGCAGUCGCUAUGUUAAUGUAAUAAUGAACUAACAUACUAAAAUUACACGUGCACCAUGGCUGUACUAAAGACCACACAUUCACUCAAAUAAAUAAUGUCAUUCAUCGACGGAUUAUACGGCGUAAUAUUUUCCAAUAUAUAUGCAGUAUUUAUUAAAUUAAUGAUUGUAAAAUAUAAUGAACUAAAAACCCAUAAGCGUA